UAGCACCCCUCACGUCUGUAGUACUCUACAGGAUCCACUUUUGUUGUUCUAAUCAAAAGGGUGUGUUUAUUCUAAAUCUUACAAACUAAAAUGUAAUGCGUGCAGAAAGAUUGAAUUAUUUACAAAUAAAAAGAAAGUUUUUUAUUAUUGCGCUCGCUUAGGCUUUGCAACCCAAUGCCUACGUAUCCUGAAAGAAUCAGAGCACCGUAGUUCUUCUCAAAAAAUUUGGUUUGUUGGUAUUUUUUUAUGGGUAACCACCCUUAUUGAAAAUUUUCAUAAGAAAAGUCAAGCAACAAAAGAAGUUUGAUUGGUUAAGUGUUUUGUUGAGAGAAUACAUCAAGUGGUCCACCCAAAGCGGGAGGUAUUUGAGUACUUCUCUCUUAUUGUUGAAAGAGUUCAAGUAGUAUUAGAAUGUUUUUGGAUUUUGAUUAAGAGAAAAAAUUGUUUUAGAAUUAAUGCAAAAGAGAAUGGAAAAUCUAAGGGAAUUCUAAAGAGAACUUAAUGUUGGCAUGCAAUAGUGGUCCUAAAGUUAGGAUAAAAGGGAAAUGUCUACUUAAGUUAGCAUGAAAAGAUUGACAUAUGAUUAAGGAUUAGGGAACUACCCAAUGUUUUUAUGCUUGGUUAACAAACCUAAGGUCCACUUUAGUUCAAUAUUAACCAAGAAUGAACCAAAGAAAUAAUAUGGGGAACAUGUUAUUCACACAAGGAAAAGAGAUAGAAGAAGAUGACAAACCAUAUCAAGUCAUGUAAGAAUAAAUAAACAUUACCAUAUCAAGUCAUGAAAGAAAUAUGAAACAAAAAAAGAUGAACAAUCCCAUAUCAAGUCAUGGAAAAAUAGAAGAACAAUCCUAUAUCAAGUCAUGGAAGAAAAGGAAAGAAAUACCAUAUCAAGUCAUGGAAGAAAGAUGAAACUAUAAAAGAUUAACAAUCCCAUAUCAAGUCAUGGAAGAAAAGUAAAUAAUCCAUAUCAAGUCAUGGAAGAAAAGGUAAAGUAAUCCAUAUCAAGUCAUGAAAGAACAAAUGAAAGAAUCAAAAGACAAAGUAAUCCAUAUCAAGUUAUGGAAGAAAAAUAAAGUAAUAGUAAUCCAUAUUAAGUCAUGGAAAAAGAUAAUAGCAAUUCAUAUCAAGUCAUGGAAAAGAUAAAUUAAUCCAUAUCAAUUUAUGGAAGGAAAGAAAGUACUAGUAGUCCAUAUAAAGUCAUGGAGAAAGAUAAUAGCAAUAACAAUCCAUAUCAAGUGACAGAAGAAAAAUUGAAACAAUCCAUAUCAAGUCAUGGAAGAGAAGAUAAAAGAACACCAAUCAAGCAAGAUAUAAAAGGUGAAUUCUCAAGUAUAAAUAUGCUUUAAGACAUCAAAAACUAUCACCAAAAGAUCACAUGUUAACAAAUAGCAACUACUCAAUCAAACUAGUCAUGAAAGAGGGAAACAAAGCUCAAACAAGUUAUGAAUACAACUAAAGCAAGCAACAAGUUAUCAAACCAAAAUGGGCAGAAAAAUCACAUCAAAAUAAACACAAGGACAUUUUGUCUAUCUCCUAAAGGUCAUGCAUACAUGCUCACCUUCUUUCUUCUAACAUCAAACUAAAAACCUUUCUAAAUAACUAGAGGAAACCGAAAAUGUCUUCAACUCAUAGAACCAAGGAUGAACAUCUCAUGGUGUUCAUCCUCACCAACUCAAAAAAACCGAACGACGACUCCCCUCUCUCUUCGUUAACACUGGUUCUUAGUUUCAACAAAGAGGAAAAUAUCACACCCAAACAAAAAGCACAAGCAAAAUCGAACAAAAAAAAACAGAUCUAAUAUCGAAUUUCACGGGUCGCAGCAAGAUUAUCUUCAGAUCUACAAUAGUCUAGUUCUAAUACAAACGGUCAUGCAUAAAUAAACAAUCAUCAAAUCAAACAUGCAAGAGGCUAACACAUGGAGUUUCGACACCUUGAAAAGUUUGGAGAAAGAGGCAAAAGAUCCCGCCAGAGCUUCGUGACUCCGGCGAGACGCCGUAAACUAUUCUUUACCUCGAGUAAGUGCUUUUUCGACUCUGAGCGUGAGCUUUUCUUUCGUUUAUUUUGCCUAUCUUUCGAUGUCUUCUUCUUCUUACUUUUGUGCUUGAUGUGAUUCUGUCAGGGUCUUAGCUCGGAUUACUCAAAGUUCUGAUGAUAAACUCUGAGUACCCCUUUGGUGUUUUGAGCUUUUAGGUACAGGUUGAGGUGGGAUUUCGGCACGGUAACGAUAUAUCCUUCUCAAUGAUUGGAACCUACUUAUUUAUAGAGGAGAUAUGUGAUUUUGGAAUUGUGUACAAAAUUUGUGAGUUGGCCAAAUGCAACGGAUCAUUCUGUUAGAAUAAAAUCAUCUCCAGAUUUUGGUGUGGUCCCCUAAACAAUGAAGGUGGUAAGACGCAUCGUUUUGUGGUAACAUCUAUUGAACCUUUACAGCAGUAAAACAUAUACUCGUUGUGGUAAGGAUUUCCAUUUUUACUGUCAUGAAAAUUGAGCUUUAAAUGGCAUGUAAUUUGUAUUUUCCUCGACUCAAAAGACUAGCUUUGUGGUUUUCUGGUUUUUUACUAAUGUGGGGUUUUGAAAUGUAAAUGUUUUGAUUUGGUUUGUGCCAAUAGUGUUGUUUUACGAAAUCCAUUAGGAACUGUUGAUUGUUCUCUAAUUUCAAUUUGCAGGUUUGAAACACUUUGGUGUAUCCUGAGAAUCAAACGUAGAUGACAUCCAAACGAGGUAUCCUUUUAGGGCGACUUGGGGAUGAGCUUGCUCUAAUUGGUGUUUCGUUGAUGGUUCAACAUGGCUUAUGCAUUACGUUUUCAAAGUGAUUAGCAAGGUUGUAUUUACCCUGGCAAUAGAGUUAGCUCAUGUGUGUUACACAUGUUUGGAUUGGGUCUGCAGCAGAUUAUGGCUUGACAAAUGCCACUUUUGUUGCAGAUUCUACACUCAUAAUUGAUGGUUAUGGCAUGAUGCUAGAGGGUACCCUGCAGUUUCUUGGUGUAACUUUGUAAUGGUCUGGAGAGGCAAAUGCAGGGAAAGGCCUGGGAAAGUGUCAUGGCAAAGUGAUAUGUAGUUUAAUCUUGAAGUUUAUUCCUUUCGUUUGGCUUGGCUGUAACGUAAUUUAGAACCUAGGAUUGCAUAUAAUCGACCGUAUGAUGCUUCUUUGAAUGAUUUUUGAAGCAAGUACGUUUGUAAAUCCAGAACUUGUAAUCUAGUUAAUGUAAUUUCAAGCUAAUCAUCCCAAA